GAUUUCUGGCUUGAAACAUUUAGCCGGCCACGGUUUCGUGUGUUAGUGCUUGAUGUUCUGGCCAUCCUUCCAAUUGCUAUUCAUCUUUCUUCAUUGAUGGGUGAGUGGUAUUGGAUCUUUUACUUUGAAAAAAUUAGAGUGUUUCAAGCAGGCUUAAUGCUAUGAAUACAUUAGCAUGGAAUAAUAAUCUAGGACUUUCGGUUCUAUUUUGUUGGUGUUCUGGAGCUGAAGUAAUGAUUGAUAGGGAUAGUUGGGGGUGCUAGUAUUCAAUGGCCAGAGGUGAAAUUCUCGGAUUCCUUGAAGACUAACUUAUGCGAAAGCAUU
rnacentral:rRNA from 1 species